rnacentral:rRNA from 1 species
GAUUCCCUAGUAACUGCGAGUGAAGCGGGAAAAGCUCAAAUUUGAAAUCUGGCAGUCUUUUUUUUCUUCUUUGGCUGUCCGAGUUGUAAUCUAGAGAAGUGCUUACCUGCGCUGGACCAUGUAUAAGUCUCCUGGAAUGGAGCCUCACAGAGGGUGAGAAUCCCGUCUUUGACAUGGACCGCCAGUGCGUUGUGGUGCGCUCUCAAAGAGUCGAGUUGUUUGGGAAUGCAGCUCUAAACGGGUGGUAAACUCCAUCUAAAGCUAAAUAUUGGCGAGAGACCGAUAGCGAACAAGUACCGUGAGGGAAAGAUGAAAAGGACUUUGGAAAGAGAGUUAAACAGUAUGUGAAAUUGUUGAAAGGGAAACGCUUGAAGUCAGUUAUGUCGGCUGGGGAUCAACCUAGCCAUCUUUUUGGCUGGGUGAAUUUCCUAGUCUGACAGGCCAACAUCAGUCUUGACUGCCGGAAAAGAGCGGAGGGAAUGUGGCACCUUUGGGUGUGUUAUAGCCCUCUGUCAUAUGCGGCAGUCGGGACUGAGGGAUGCAGCGUGCCGCGAGGCUGGGUUUCGACCACGUUCACGCUUAGGAUGUUGGCUUUUAAUGGCUCCAAUCGACCCGUCUUGAAACACGGACCAAGGAGUCUAACAUGCCUGCGAGUGUUUGGGUGGAAAACCCUUGUGCACAAUGAAAGUGAAAGUUGAGAUCCCCGUCAUGGGGAGCAUCGACGCCCGGACUUGAGCUUUUAGCGACGGAUCCGCGGUAGAGCAUGCAUGUUGGGACCCGAAAGAUGGUGAACUAUGCCUGAAUAGGGCAAAGCCAGAGGAAACUCUGGUGGAGGCUCGUAGCGAUUCUGACGUGCAAAUCGAUCGUCAAAUUUGGGUAUAGGGGCGAAAGACUAAUCGAACCAUC